rnacentral:rRNA from 1 species
UACGAAGGGGGCGAGCGUUGUUCGGAAUUACUGGGCGUAAAGGGCGCGUAGGCGGCGACCCAAGUCAGAUGUGAAAUCCCCGGGCUCAACCUGGGAACUGCAUUUGUGACUGCACGGCUCGAGUGCGGCAGAGGGGGAUGGAAUUCCGCGUGUAGCAGUGAAAUGCGUAGAUAUGCGGAGGAACACCGAUGGCGAAGGCAAUCCCCUGGGCCUGCACUGACGCUCAUGCACGAAAGCGUGGGGAGCAAACAGG